AGGGAUGUGGAGCAGGCUCUGCAUGGCUCUGCACCCUCAUCGUCUUCCAUUUUGGCUCCUGGCUCUCUUCACCACCCUGGAUCGUCCCGAGAGCAGGCUCCUAAAGCUCUUGAGCCCACUGAUGAUGAGCUGAUGGCAUGUGCCAUGGAGGUGGACAUACCAGCCCUUUAAAAAUGAUGCAGAAGAAGUUAAG